GAUGAACGCUGGCGGCGUGCCUAAUACAUGCAAGUCGAGCGAACGGACGAGAAGCUUGCUUCUCUGAUGUUAGCGGCGGACGGGUGAGUAACACGUGGAUAACCUACCUAUAAGACUGGGAUAACUUCGGGAAACCGGAGCUAAUACCGGAUAAUAUUUUGAACCGCAUGGUUCAAAAGUGAAAGACGGUCUUGCUGUCACUUAUAGAUGGAUCCGCGCUGCAUUAGCUAGUUGGUAAGGUAACGGCUUACCAAGGCAACGAUGCAUAGCCGACCUGAGAGGGUGAUCGGCCACACUGGAACUGAGACACGGUCCAGACUCCUACGGGAGGCAGCAGUAGGGAAUCUUCCGCAAUGGGCGAAAGCCUGACGGAGCAACGCCGCGUGAGUGAUGAAGGUCUUCGGAUCGUAAAACUCUGUUAUUAGGGAAGAACAUAUGUGUAAGUAACUGUGCACAUCUUGACGGUACCUAAUCAGAAAGCCACGGCUAACUACGUGCCAGCAGCCGCGGUAAUACGUAGGUGGCAAGCGUUAUCCGGAAUUAUUGGGCGUAAAGCGCGCGUAGGCGGUUUUUUAAGUCUGAUGUGAAAGCCCACGGCUCAACCGUGGAGGGUCAUUGGAAACUGGAAAACUUGAGUGCAGAAGAGGAAAGUGGAAUUCCAUGUGUAGCGGUGAAAUGCGCAGAGAUAUGGAGGAACACCAGUGGCGAAGGCGACUUUCUGGUCUGUAACUGACGCUGAUGUGCGAAAGCGUGGGGAUCAAACAGGAUUAGAUACCCUGGUAGUCCACGCCGUAAACGAUGAGUGCUAAGUGUUAGGGGGUUUCCGCCCCUUAGUGCUGCAGCUAACGCAUUAAGCACUCCGCCUGGGGAGUACGACCGCAAGGUUGAAACUCAAAGGAAUUGACGGGGACCCGCACAAGCGGUGGAGCAUGUGGUUUAAUUCGAAGCAACGCGAAGAACCUUACCAAAUCUUGACAUCCUUUGACAACUCUAGAGAUAGAGCCUUCCCCUUCGGGGGACAAAGUGACAGGUGGUGCAUGGUUGUCGUCAGCUCGUGUCGUGAGAUGUUGGGUUAAGUCCCGCAACGAGCGCAACCCUUAAGCUUAGUUGCCAUCAUUAAGUUGGGCACUCUAAGUUGACUGCCGGUGACAAACCGGAGGAAGGUGGGAAUGACGUCAAAUCAUCAUGCCCCUUAUGAUUUGGGCUACACACGUGCUACAAUGGACAAUACAAAGGGCAGCGAAACCGCGAGGUCAAGCAAAUCCCAUAAAGUUGUUCUCAGUUCGGAUUGUAGUCUGCAACUCGACUACAUGAAGCUGGAAUCGCUAGUAAUCGUAGAUCAGCAUGCUACGGUGAAUACGUUCCCGGGUCU
rnacentral:rRNA from 1 species